GUCGUACUCCCUCCGUUCCAAAUUAUUCAUCGCUGAAAUGGAUGUAUCUAAAACUAAAAUACAUUUAGAUACAUCCAUACGUGCGACAAGUAAUUCGGAACGGAGGGAGUAUCUA
rfam:Triticum aestivum genome assembly, contig: Triticum_aestivum_CS42_TGACv1_scaffold_580280_7BL